rnacentral:rRNA from 1 species
UACAGAGGCCCCAAGCGUUACUGAGAAUCACUGGGUUAAAGGGUGCGUAGGUGGCGCGUUAAGUCCGUUGUGAAAUCCCUUGGCUACAACCAAGGAAUGGCUUCGGAUACUGGCGUGCUUGAGGUUGGUAUGGUCACUGGAACGUGACGGUGGAGCGGUGAAAUGCGUAGAUAUACGUCAGGAACGCCAAUGGUGAAGACAGGUGAACUGG